AAAAUUCACAGCCCCGUGGAGCUGGCGCUCUCUCAUUCACAGUUUUCUAGAGAGAUCUKAGCCUGAACCUGGGAGCCGGGAGAUCUUUCUCGCCCACCCAGCUCAAGAGCACGGACACCUACCGCGGGGGAAAUACUCACCCCACGCAGCCCCCCGCCGCCUCAAGGCAAGGCAGCCUGGCUCUACGCAGUAAGUGAUGGAGUAAAUGGCUCUUUCCUUUGGAUGGAUUAUACUACGUAUGAGCUGCAUGUUGCUCUUUCUGCAAGAAUAAGAAAAAGUUUCAACUUUCAUUUGUUAAAUAUCAACUUGAUAGCAAAAUUUUUCUGAAUGGCUUACUCU